AUCCAGAGAAUUUAGCAGAGAUGCUUAGUUGCCUUCGGGAACUCUGAGACAGGUGCUGCAUGGCUGUCGUCAGCUCGUGUUGUGAAAUGUUGGGUUAAGUCCCGCAACGAGCGCAACCCUUAUCCUUUGUUGCCAGCACGUAAUGGUGGGAACUCAAAGGAGACUGCCGGUGAUAAACCGGAGGAAGGUGGGGAUGACGUCAAGUCAUCAUGGCCCUUACGAGUAGGGCUACACACGUGCUACAAUGGCGCAUACAAAGAGAAGCGACCUCGCGAGAGCAAGCGGACCUCAUAAAGUGCGUCGUAGUCCGGAUUGGAGUCUGCAACUCGACUCCAUGAAGUCGGAAUCGCUAGUAAUCGUAAAUCAGAAUGUUACGGUGAAUACGUUCCCGGGCCUUGUACACACCGCCCGUCACACCAUGGGAGUGGGUUGCAAAAGAAGUAGAUAGCUUAACCUUCGGGAGGGCGUUUACCACUUUGUGAUUCAUGACUGGGGUGAAGUCGUAACAAGGUAAGCGUAGUGCU
rnacentral:rRNA from 1 species